rnacentral:rRNA from 1 species
GACAGAGGGUGCAAACGUUGUUCGGAAUUACUGGGCGUAAAGCGCGUGUAGGCGGCUUUGCAAGUCGGGCGUGAAAUCCCAUGGCUCAACCGUGGAAGUGCACUCGAAACUGCGCAGCUAGAGUCUCGGAGAGGAAGGCGGAAUGCUUGGUGUAGAGGUGAAAUUCGUAGAUAUCAAGCGGAACACCGGUGGCGAAGGCGGCCUUCUGGACGAUGACUGACGCUGAAGCGCGAAAGCCAGGGUAGCGAACGGG